CCUACGGGCGGCUGCAGUGGGGAAUAUUGGACAAUGGGGGGAACCCUGAUCCAGCCAUGCCGCGUGUGUGAAGAAGGCCCUCGGGUUGUAAAGCACUUUCAGUGAGGAAGAACGCCUGGUGGUUAAUACCCAUCAGGAAAGACAUCACUCACAGAAGAAGCACCGGCUAACUCCGUGCCAGCAGCCGCGGUAAUACGGAGGGUGCGAGCGUUAACCGGAAUUACUGGGCGUAAAGCGCGCGUAGGUGGCUUGAUAAGCCGGUUGUGAAAGCCCCGGGCUCAACCUGGGAACGGCAUCCGGAACUGUCAAGCUAGAGUGCAGGAGAGGAAGGUAGAAUUCCCGGUGUAGCGGUGAAAUGCGUAGAGAUCGGGAGGAAUACCAGUGGCGAAGGCGGCCUUCUGGACUGACACUGACACUGAGGUGCGAAAGCGUGGGUAGCAAACAGGAUUAGAUACCCUAGUAGUC
rnacentral:rRNA from 1 species